CCUACGGGAGGCUGCAGUGGGGAAUAUUGGACAAUGGGGGCAACCCUGAUCCAGCCAUGCCGCGUGUGUGAAGAAGUCCCUCGGGUUGUAAAGCACUUUCAGUGAGGAAGAACGCCUGGUGGUUAAUACCCAUCAGGAAAGACAUCACUCACAGAAGAAGCACCGGCUAACUCCGUGCCAGCAGCCGCGGUAAUACGGAGGGUGCGAGCGUUAAUCGGAAUUACUGGGCGUAAAGCGCGCGUAGGUGGCUUGAUAAGCCGGUUGUGAAAGCCCCGGGCUCAACCUGGGAACGGCAUCCGGAACUGUCAAGCUAGAGUGCAGGAGAGGAAGGUAGAAUUCCCGGUGUAGCGGUGAAAUGCGUAGAGAUCGGGAGGAAUACCAGUGGCGAAGGCGGCCUUCUGGACUGACACUGACACUGAGGUGCGAAAGCGUGGGUAGCAAACAGGAUUAGAUACCCGGGUAGUC
rnacentral:rRNA from 1 species